GCAGCUCAGCGUUAGUGCAUCUGCCUUGCAUGCAGAAGGCACCGGGUUCAAUCCCCAGCAUCCCCA